UAAUGGUGCACAUUUAUUUAUAAUUGAUUGUUUAAUUUAUUUAUCUAGCGAGGCAAAGUCAAGGUGUCUGGGACAAACUGCAGAAAUAAAAAAGCGCAGUCCUAUGCUGCGCUUAUUCGUUGUUCC
rnacentral:misc_RNA from 1 species